rnacentral:rRNA from 1 species
GUGGGGAAUCUUCCGCAAUGGGCGAAAGCCUGACGGAGCAACGCCGCGUGAUCGAAUGAAGGCCUUCGGGUUGUAAAGAUCUGUUGACAGGGACGAAUAAGCAAUGCGAAUAGUUUUGUGUAUGACGGUACCUGUUUAGAAAGCUCCGGCUAACUACGUGCCAGCAGCCGCGGUAAUACGUAGGGAGCAAGCGUUGUCCGGAAUUACUGGGCGUAAAGGGCGCGUAGGUGGGCGCUUAAGUCAGGUGUGAAAACUCCGGGCUCAACCUGGAGACUGCACUUGAAACUGGGUGUCUUGAGGGCAGGAGAGGAAAGUGGAAUUCCUAGUGUAGCGGUGAAAUGCGUAGAUAUUAGGAGGAACACCAGUGGCGAAGGCGACUUUCUGGACUGUACCUGACGCUGAGGCGCGAAAGCGUGGGUAGCGAACGGG